GGGCCAGACUCCUACGGGAGGCAGCAGUGGGGAAUAUUGCACAAUGGGGGAAACCCUGAUGCAGCGACGCCGCGUGAGUGAGGAAGUAUUUCGGUCUGUAAAGCUCUAUCAGCAGGGAAGAAAAUGACGGUACCUGAAGAAGAAGCCCCGGCUAACUACGUGCCAGCAGCCGCGGUAAUACGUAGGGGGCAAGCGUUAUCCGGAUUCACUGGGUGUAAAGGGAGCGUAGACGGCGACGCAAGUCUGGAGUGAAAGCCCGGGGCCCAACCCCGGGACUGCUCUGGAAACUGCGUCGCUGGAGUACGGGAGGGGCAGGCGGAAUUCCUGGUGUAGCGGUGAAAUGCGUAGAUAUCAGGAGGAACACCGGCGGCGAAGGCGGCCUGCUGGACCGCGACUGACGUUGAGGCUCGAAAGCGUGGGGAGCGAACAGGAUUAGAUACCCCGGUA
rnacentral:rRNA from 1 species